GUCAGACUCAAUAACUUGGUGGUGUUUAAACAGGCUUAGACAAUGUAGUAACAUCUUGAAAUUUCAACAGGCUAAGGCUUACAUCAUAGUGAAUACGUUACAUUAAGCAGUGGGUGAGUAUGUAUAUCUGCCUUUAGCUAAUUUUUGGCAGCUCACUUUCAGUUUGAUAGAUAAUAGAUGAAAGGUAGCAAAGUUGUAGCUAUGCAACUACGUCUGUCUUAUUGCUUUACUUUAUCUGAUAAUAACAGUGGCUUAAUAUUUACGUAGCGUGUCAUCGCUAUACUAUCUAGACCUCGUCUUGGUUAUGCUGAAUAGUGCAGAAGUGAGAGGCAUAUCUUUAAUGUAGCAACUGCUGGAUCGAGUAGUCAUGACACGUAGUAGGUAACACAGAAGGAUUGUGUUGCAGAUUAUGUUAGGGUAAGUAAUGCUGACUACCGGGGAACGGGUAAUGCCAUUAAGGUUUUAUCGUACCUAAGAUUUUCAUUAAAACAAGGUGCCACCAGGCAGGGCGUCUUACAUUCCGGUGUGACCUUUAUAUAAAUACUGCUAAACCACAGUUAAACUAUGUACAAGAUUGUGUGCAGAGGGUGUGCAGGUUAUUCUGUGACUGCAUUUGUAGCGCUAUCUGAUGUAGUGAGUCGUGACCUAUCAUACUUUUUGCUACUUAUUCUGAGUGGCUGGGGUCACCGCCAGCUCCAUCUCGGCGUAAAGCAUGAGAUAGUUGGGUCAUACACAAAUGGAGAAAGAUAUUUCAAUCACCUUGCUAAAACUUAAGGGAGAGAAAAAAAAAUUAAAAAAAAAUAUAAUAAGAAUAAGAACUCAAAUUAACUUAAAGUCACAAAGUGAAGUAGCUUGAGGGUCGUUCCAGUCUCCCUCGGUCUCGGUCAGAGCGUCUCUCGGUGUUUCAUGUGGUCGCUGCAACAUACGGUUCCCCUGUGUUUCGUCGAGGUGUAAACGGGGUAAUUUUGCUUGGAUUCCAGGUAUGCUUGUGUCUGGGUUCAGGUUGUUGUUGAGGGUUGAUUAGAAUGUCC